UACGGAGGGGGCUAGCGUUGUUCGGAAUUACUGGGCGUAAAGCGCACGUAGGCGGCUUUGCAAGUUAGAGGUGAAAGCCCGGGGCUCAACUCCGGAAUUGCCUUUAAAACUGCAUCGCUAGAAUUGUGGAGAGGUAAGUGGAAUUCCGAGUGUAGAGGUGAAAUUCGUAGAUAUUGGGAAGAACACCGGUGGCGAAGGCGGCUCACUGGCUCGUAACUGACGCUCAUGCACGACAGCGUGGGGAUCAAACAGG
rnacentral:rRNA from 1 species